UCUGUAGCUCAGCAGGUAGAGCAACGGACUGAAAAUCCGUGUGUCGUUGGUUCGACUCCGACCGGA
rnacentral:tRNA from 1 species